GGGCGCGUAGCUCAACUGGCAGAGCAACUGACUCUUAAUCAGUAGGUUGUAGGUUCGAUUCCCACCGCGCUCACCA
rnacentral:tRNA from 1 species